GGUUAAGUGACUAAGCGUACACGGUGGAUGCCUUGGCAGUCAGAGGCGAUGAAAGACGUAGUAACUUGCGAUAAGCCCAGAUUAGGUAGUAACAACCAUUUGAGUCUGGGAUUUCUGAAUGGGGAAACCCACUUACAUAAGUAAGUAUCAUUAACUGAAUACAUAGGUUAAUGAGGCGAACCGGGGGAACUGAAACAUCUAAGUACCCCGAGGAAAAGAAAUCAACCGAGAUUCCGAAAGUAGCGGCGAGCGAAAUUGGACUAGCCCUUAAGCUUUACACGCGUUAGACGAACGGUCUGGAAAGUCCGACGAUACAGGGUGAUAGUCCCGUAGUUGACGACGUGUGUUCAGUGAAAUCGAGUAGGGCGGGACACGUGAUAUCCUGUCUGAAUAUGGGGGGACCAUCCUCCAAGGCUAAAUACUACUGACUGACCGAUAGUGAACCAGUACCGUGAGGGAAAGGCGAAAAGAACCCCUGUGAGGGGAGUGAAAUAGAACCUGAAACCGUGUACGUACAAGCAGUAGGAGCACCUUCGUGGUGUGACUGCGUACCUUUUGUAUAAUGGGUCAGCGACUUAUAUUCAGUGGCAAGGUUAACCAUCUAGGGGAGCCGUAGGGAAACCGAGUCUUAACUGGGCGUUCAGUCUCUGGAUAUAGACCCGAAACCAGGUGAUCUAGCCAUGGGCAGGUUGAAGGUUGAGUAACAUCAACUGGAGGACCGAACCGACUAAUGUUGAAAAAUUAGCGGAUGACUUGUGGCUAGGGGUGAAAGGCCAAUCAAACCUGGAGAUAGCUGGUUCUCCCCGAAAGCUAUUUAGGUAGCGCCUCGGACGAAUACUACUGGGGGUAGAGCACUGUUAAGGCUAGGGGGUCAUCCCGACUUACCAACCCUUUGCAAACUCCGAAUACCAGUAAGUACUAUCCGGGAGACACACGGCGGGUGCUAACGUCCGUCGUGGAGAGGGAAACAACCCAGACCGCCAGCUAAGGUCCCAAAUUACUACUAAGUGGGAAACGAUGUGGGAAGGCUCAGACAGCCAGGAUGUUGGCUUAGAAGCAGCCAUCAUUUAAAGAAAGCGUAAUAGCUCACUGGUCGAGUCGGCCUGCGCGGAAGAUGUAACGGGGCUAAGUAGUAAACCGAAGCUGCGGCAAUAUACUUUUGUAUAUUGGGUAGGGGAGCGUUCUGUAAGCGGUUGAAGGUGUGUGGUAACGCAUGCUGGACGUAUCAGAAGUGCGAAUGCUGACAUGAGUAACGAUAAAGGGGGUGAAAAACCUCCUCGCCGGAAGACCAAGGGUUCCUGUCCAACGUUAAUCGGGGCAGGGUAAGUCGACCCCUAAGGCGAGGCCGAAAGGCGUAGUCGAUGGGAAACGGGUUAAUAUUCCCGUACUUCUUACAAUUGCGAUGGGGGGACGGAGAAGGCUAGGUGGGCCUGGCGACGGUUGUCCAGGUUCAAGUGCGUAGGCUUAAGAGUUAGGUAAAUCCGGCUCUUUUUAAGGCUGAGACACGACGUCGAGCACCUACGGGUGUGAAGUCAUUGAUGCCAUGCUUCCAGGAAAAGCCUCUAAGCUUCAGAUUGUAAGGAAUCGUACCCCAAACCGACACAGGUGGUCGGGUAGAGAAUACCAAGGCGCUUGAGAGAACUCGGGUGAAGGAACUAGGCAAAAUGGUACCGUAA
rnacentral:rRNA from 1 species